GGUUAAGCGACUAAGCGUACACGGUGGAUGCCUAGGCAGUCAGAGGCGAUGAAGGGCGUGCUAAUCUGCGAAAAGCGUCGGUAAGGUGAUAUGAACCGUUAUAACCGACGAUACCCGAAUGGGGAAACCCAGUGCAAUUCGUUGCACUAUUGCAUGGUGAAUACAUAGCCAUGCAAGGCGAACCGGGGGAACUGAAACAUCUAAGUACCCCGAGGAAAAGAAAUCAACCGAGAUUCCCCCAGUAGCGGCGAGCGAACGGGGAGGAGCCCAGAACCUGAAUCAGCGUAUGUGUUAGUGGAAGCGUCUGGAAAGUCGCACGGUACAGGGUGAUAGUCCCGUACACAAAAAUGCAUAUGUUGUGAGUUCGAUGAGUAGGGCGGGACACGUGACAUCCUGUCUGAAUAUGGGGGGACCAUCCUCCAAGGCUAAAUACUCCUGACUGACCGAUAGUGAACCAGUACCGUGAGGGAAAGGCGAAAAGAACCCCGGCGAGGGGAGUGAAAUAGAACCUGAAACCGUGUACGUACAAGCAGUGGGAGCACCUUCGUGGUGUGACUGCGUACCUUUUGUAUAAUGGGUCAGCGACUUAUAUUUUGUAGCAAGGUUAACCGAAUAGGGGAGCCGUAGGGAAACCGAGUCUUAACUGGGCGUCUAGUUGCAAGGUAUAGACCCGAAACCCGGUGAUCUAGCCAUGGGCAGGUUGAAGGUUGGGUAACACUAACUGGAGGACCGAACCGACUAAUGUUGAAAAAUUAGCGGAUGACUUGUGGCUGGGGGUGAAAGGCCAAUCAAACCGGGAGAUAGCUGGUUCUCCCCGAAAGCUAUUUAGGUAGCGCCUCGUGAACUCAUCUUCGGGGGUAGAGCACUGUUUCGGCUAGGGGGUCAUCCCGACUUACCAAACCGAUGCAAACUCCGAAUACCGAAGAAUGUUAUCACGGGAGACACACGGCGGGUGCUAACGUCCGUCGUGAAGAGGGAAACAACCCAGACCGCCAGCUAAGGUCCCAAAGUCAUGGUUAAGUGGGAAACGAUGUGGGAAGGCAUAGACAGCCAGGAUGUUGGCUUAGAAGCAGCCAUCAUUUAAAGAAAGCGUAAUAGCUCACUGGUCGAGUCGGCCUGCGCGGAAGAUGUAACGGGGCUAAACCAUGCACCGAAGCUGCGGCAGCGACGCUUAGGCGUUGUUGGGUAGGGGAGCGUUCUGUAAGCCGUUGAAGGUGACCUGUGAGGGUUGCUGGAGGUAUCAGAAGUGCGAAUGCUGACAUAAGUAACGAUAAUGCGGGUGAAAAACCCGCACGCCGGAAGACCAAGGGUUCCUGUCCAACGUUAAUCGGGGCAGGGUGAGUCGACCCCUAAGGCGAGGCUGAAAAGCGUAGUCGAUGGGAAACAGGUUAAUAUUCCUGUACUUGGUGUUACUGCGAAGGGGGGACGGAGAAGGCUAGGCUAGCCGGGCGACGGUUGUCCCGGUUUAAGCAUGUAGGCGGAGCGACUUGGUAAAUCCGGUUGCUUAUCAACGCUGAGGUGUGAUGACGAGCCACUACGGUGGUGAAGUAGUUGAUGCCAAGCUUCCAGGAAAAGCCUCUAAGCAUCAGGUAACAUUAAAUCGUACCCCAAACCGACACAGGUGGUCAGGUAGAGAAUACUCAGGCGCUUGAGAGAACUCGGGUGAAGGAACUAGGCAAAAUGGUGCCGUAACUUCGGGAGAAGGCACGCUGGCAUUAGGUAAAGGGACUUGCUCCCGGCGCCGAAGCCAGUCGCAGAUACCAGCUGGCUGCAACUGUUUAAUAAAAACACAGCACUGUGCAAACACGAAAGUGGACGUAUACGGUGUGACGCCUGCCCGGUGCUGGAAGGUUAAUUGAUGGGGUCAGCCUUACGGCGAAGCUCUUGAUCGAAGCCCCAGUAAACGGCGGCCGUAACUAUAACGGUCCUAAGGUAGCGAAAUUCCUUGUCGGGUAAGUUCCGACCUGCACGAAUGGCGUAAUGAUGGCCAGGCUGUCUCCACCCGAGACUCAGUGAAAUUGAACUCGCUGUGAAGAUGCAGUGUACCCGCGGCAAGACGGAAAGACCCCGUGAACCUUUACUAUAGCUUGACACUGAACAUUGAGCCUUGAUGUGUAGGAUAGGUGGGAGGCAUCGAAGUGUGGACGCCAGUCUGCAUGGAGCCAACCUUGAAAUACCACCCUUUAAUGUUUGAUGUUCUAACUCGGCCCCAUAAUCUGGGGUGAGGACAGUGUCUGGUGGGUAGUUUGACUGGGGCGGUCUCCUCCCAAAGAGUAACGGAGGAGCACGAAGGUUAGCUAAUCACGGUCGGACAUCGUGAGGUUAGUGCAAAGGCAUAAGCUAGCUUGACUGCGAGAGUGACGGCUCGAGCAGGUACGAAAGUAGGUCUUAGUGAUCCGGUGGUUCUGAAUGGAAGGGCCAUCGCUCAACGGAUAAAAGGUACUCCGGGGAUAACAGGCUGAUACCGCCCAAGAGUUCAUAUCGACGGCGGUGUUUGGCACCUCGAUGUCGGCUCAUCACAUCCUGGGGCUGAAGUAGGUCCCAAGGGUAUGGCUGUUCGCCAUUUAAAGUGGUACGCGAGCUGGGUUUAGAACGUCGUGAGACAGUUCGGUCCCUAUCUGCCGUGGGCGUUGGAAGAUUGAGAGGGGCUGCUCCUAGUACGAGAGGACCGGAGUGGACGAAUCACUGGUGUUCGGGUUGUCAUGCCAAUGGCAUUGCCCGGUAGCUAAAUUCGGAAGAGAUAACCGCUGAAAGCAUCUAAGCGGGAAACUUGCCUCGAGAUGAGUCUUCCCUGGGGCUUUAAGCCCCCUGAAGGAACGUUAAAGACUAUGACGUUGAUAGGCUGGGUGUGUAAGUGCAGCGAUGCAUUGAGCUAACCAGUACUAAUGAUCCGUGAGGCUUAACCUU
rnacentral:rRNA from 1 species